UUGAGUACAGCCGUGUAGAAGUAAAAAGCUCAUGGAAUAAAAUAAGAUGCAACUAGUAAAAUAAGCAACCAAAUUCAAUUCAAAUUGGAAAUGACAGUACACAACACGUUAACAGCAAAGAAGGAAGUGUACGUAUUCUUCCACAUGUUUAGAACAAUAACUUCACUCUUGGUUCAAGCAUUAAUAAACAAACCAAACCUAUUCAAACUAAACCCCAUUCCAUUAUGCAGACAGAGAAUCCAAACCAGAGUUCUUGCUUGUGGUGGCAGCUAACGCAUUUCUCCUCUCUUGCUCUCCAAACAAAUUGUUUUUUUCUUCAGAGAACUCCAGCCCCUCAGAGUAGUCUCCAGACUCCAAGUAGCAGCCCUCCAACAAAGACGUUCACAGCCAAUAGUUUCAAAACCAAAAACCCAGAGUGUGUGUAGCCGUGAGUUCUGUAACUAAGAGUAGUGUCCAGAACCUCUGAAUGUAACCGAAUGUGUAUAGUCGUUCCUCCUUUUGAGCUUGUAAGUCUCUUCUUUCCAAAAAGGAAAACCCAGCCAGCUAUGAGCCAUCUCUUUCCGUUCAAUCAUGGCCUGCUCUCCACGUCCUCUGCUAAGCUUUUCAGUGAGGAUAAUAUUCCCUUCAGUGGCUGCUCCCGCUUUUUAUCCCUUCAUAUAUUUUGUUGAUCCUUAGUUGUCCAAGGGCCGUGUGUUUUAAUCUUUGCUGCACUGUGGCUUCUCUAAUGAAAGGGGUAAAUCCUCAACUAUCACUCACUUACUUCAAUCUCUCAUGCGCUGCUUCGAGAGUGGUGGCCCUUUUUAUUCAAGCAUUUGUGAUGUUUUGGUGUGUGCCAACGUGGUUGUCAUGGGCCAUGCUAUCACUUUCCAAUCAAUUUCUGAGAGAGCCGUGAACAUCUCCACCUGAUACCAAUUCCAUUCUCCAUUUUGCAGUUUUAACCGAGAGCUUCUCAGGUUGGUCCGUGAAGUGUAUGGGCGUGCUCUGCUUCCAGCUAUAAAACAAUCAAACUAAUUAAAUAUGGCUUAAUCUCCCAAGCCGUGACACAUGUGUGCUUGUGUUGUGCUCUUUCCGUAACAGCCCCAAAGGAGAAUGUUUCUCCCAAACCAUUUGAAAACCACGUUCUCAGCAGAAAGUUGGAAUGCCCACUUGAAUAUUGCCUAAAAUGAAUUGUGGGGGCCGUGUGCUUUUAUUCUUUUCAGAGCAAUGACACUUCAAAAACCACUCAGCAGAAUUCCGAACGUGAUUUGUUCCCAAGCAUCAAAAAUGUGGCAGCACAUUUGUUAUCUUUCAGCUAUAAAACCGUGACACCACCUACAAACAAAAAUAUUCCACUCCUAAUUUUUCACUUCCACACACAAAAUAAAUCAAUCCAGUGUAUCUUUUUUCUAUUAAUUAACACAGUGUAAAAGUGAAUAUUCUUCCAAACGUCCCAA